AACCAACUGAAGACAUGUAGAUAAAAGAAACAUAAGACAAAAAAUAAACAGAGCCUCAAUUACCUUGAGAAAAUAUGAAAUAGUAUAAUAUCUAUAUAAUUAGAGACCCAGAAAAAGGAGGGAAGAAAAAUUAUUUAAGAAAUAAUUGCCAUUUUUUUUUCCCAAGGAUCUCAACAGGACAAACACAAAGAAAAUAUCAAGGUGCAUCAUAGACAAAUUAUUGAAAAUCAGCAAUAAGGAGAAAACCUUAAAAACAGCAAGAUAAAAAGAUGCAUUAUGUGUAAAAUUAAAAAAGAAAACAAUGAUUGCUGAAUUCUUAUCAUACCAAUGCACAAAAGACAACAGAACAAUAUCUUUAAUGUGUGAAAAGUAAAAAAAAAAAUGUCAAACUAAGUUUUACAUUCAGGAAAAAUAUUCUUUGAAAAUAGAAGACAAUGAGAUUUCUGAUUUGUGGUUAUCACUCCCAUUCUCAUAAUAAGAAAAAAUCUGAAAAAACUGGAAAUCCACAACUCUUCUUAAAAUUGAGGUAACAGGGCAAGCCACUACCUUGAAUAUUAGAGACAGGAAGAUACAAAGAAUUCAGCUUAAAGAAAGAAGGAAGCCUUGGAGGAGAAGCCUGGUGCUGGAGCCUGUACCACUUUCCACAACAUCAACUGUGCUACUGUAUAAUAACAGGGCAUUAUAGCCAAAGAACUGUAAGCCUCAGACCCUAUUUAAGGAAGAGUCUCCAGGGAAAUCUAAAAAUAACAGGGAAGACUAAAACAAGGACACCCAGAGAAAAUGCUAGCCUUUGAUAUGUACAGCUAUAGCAACUGGCAAACACAAUGUAACUCCUAGCCAGAUCAACAUUGAACCUCACACAAAAGGUCUAUUUACUUCAUUUCCUUCUAAUUGAUACAUCCUCUCAGGCUGUCAGCAAAAAACUAGAAGACGUGAAAAUGCAAAAACUCUGUCUGAAGAGAGAAAGCAUGCCUUAGACUCAGACUGGCAGAAAUUUUGAGUGAUCAAACCAGAUAUUUAAAAUAACUAUGAUUAAAAUGCUAGCAGAAUGGAAAAAGUAAACAACAUGCACAAAUGGAAGGCAAAACAAAGACAUUUUCAAAUAAGCAAAAGGUGAUAGAAUGUGUCAUCCACAGACCUGCACUAUAAAAAAUGGUAGAGGAAGUUCUUCAGUAUGAAAGUGAAUGAUACCAGAUGGAAACUGAGAUCUACAAAAUGAAACAUCACUGGAAAUAGUAAAUACAUGGAGUUUCACCUGCCACCUGGAUCAUUUCCUAUUUUUCUGCAGCCACUUCAGGGCGGGGACCCAGUAUCACGAAGCUGCAAGCUUUGCUGCCAGUUUUCCAUCCAUCCCCCGGGGCUGAGAUGAGGUGAGAGGCCGCAAAUCCUAUCUAUGAAGAUAGGCACUUCCAUUCAUUCUGAAGUCCUCACAUAGUAGUUAUUCAGUGAAUGUACCCUGGGAUCCACUUUUCACCUUUCCCCUUACCUGCUUUGUGCUUCAAGAAACUGACUUCAACAGACAGCAUCAUCUGGGCUUCUUUACCCUGUAGUGUUCAGCUGAGUUCAGCCAAUGGAAGACACUAGUAGAAGACUGGAAGGAUAGAGGAGAGAAAGAUUGGAAUAUUUAUUCCCAUCUCAUACUACAGUUUUUGUAGUGAUGGUUCUUCCUAUUGGACAGCUUCCACCUAUAACUACAGUUCUCUCCUGGUUCCAGAAACUGCUUUCUCCACUUCUGACCUAGGAGUAGCCACAGCUCCCAGCUGUUGUUAGACCCCAGGUGUAUUUUGUCAUCUCUUGUUACUUCCCUUAACCCUGCCACAGCUCUGAAAAUAGUCCAGUAAUUAAAUACUUUUUGAGCUA
rnacentral:lncRNA from 1 species